rnacentral:rRNA from 1 species
UACGAAGGGGGCUAGCGUUGCUCGGAAUCACUGGGCGUAAAGCGCACGUAGGCGGCUUUCUAAGUCAGGGGUGAAAUCCUGGAGCUCAACUCCAGAACUGCCUUUGAUACUGGAGAGCUAGAGUCCGGAAGAGGUGAGUGGAACUGCGAGUGUAGAGGUGAAAUUCGUAGAUAUUCGCAAGAACACCAGUGGCGAAGGCGGCUCACUGGUCCGGUACUGACGCUGAGGUGCGAAAGCGUGGGGAGGAAAUAGG